rnacentral:lncRNA from 1 species
AAACUAAUUAAGAAAACAUAUAAUGACAUUUUCAAAGUAAUAAAUUAAAAUGUACCCUACUGUAUGGAAAUAAGGAGGAUUUGUAUGCAGACAAGGCAUAUUUAAUGAUAAUGAAAGACUACUUAUACAUUACAAAUAACUCAAAAGAGAGUGUGAGAUGGAAAAAUACAACUAGAUCAGUGAACAAGAUCUAUGUGGCAGUGACCACAUUAUGCAAAUCAGUAUCAACCAACAUAUUAUUAACAACUAAGGACAUGUUUACAAGUGCAUUGGACCACCAAAC